UCUAGUGUUCUUAAAGGGCCUUGAAAUUUUAGAGAAGUGUGGAAGAAGGAGUCCCUCACCACUGGGCUUUGUUUAUUUUACAGUCAGCAAGCCUUAGGGACCCCUCACUGAAACUGUUUCCUUAAAGGCCUAGGAUUUCACUGAAACCAAGAGGAACUUGCAUCCAAACUGGAUUCUAGAAGAAAAGGAGAAGUAAGGAAGCUGAAGAGUGCCAGUCCCUUGGGGAUUGAAGCACUUGAGCAGUUCCAUUUGCUGCAAUUCUCUGUGUCUCUGGACCGUGGGGAUCGAUUUUAAUCCCUCAGUCUCUCCACUGCCUCCUACUCACUACCUCAAGAUCCUUGAUUGGAAAAAGCAAAUGAGGGUCUGGAAAGAGAUCAUUUCCUCAGAAGACCUGAGGAGAAAAUGCAUGAUUAGAAUAGGUGUCUGUUUUCUGAGAAUGUGAGCACCAUUAUGCUUAGGCAUCAUUUCCAAGCAAAAAGAAUCCAUGUUCGAAAUGUCGAGGUUGUUGUCUCCCAGGAAAACACAGCUGCUGAGUGAUGGUCCAAGGCCAGUGGAAGUGUAGCAGCACUGGUCGCAGACAAAACCUGUCAGACACUGGUUUUACGAAGAGGCUUUAGUCAGCUGGGAGCAUCGGUAGACUUGCGUCUCAAGGUCCAAGCUCCCUGAACUCAAGAUUCCUGUCCCUUUUAAGGGCUUACAACUCUAAGGAGUCCAUGUGAAAGGGUCGUGAUACAUUGUGCAAGAGGGGGCUAUGUGAUGGGGGCUGCACGCACCAGUGAUCAGAACAGAACAGAACUGAACCAAACAGGGAGUUACACAAUGCUUCCUCAUACAAUGUCUGGAAUCUAUAGAUAACAUAAGCGAUUAGGUCAGGGGUCGAUCUUUAACUACCAGGCCUGGGAUGUGCUGCCAGGUUGUUUGACUAUUGAAUUUCACUUCUGCCUUUUCUUUAACUCCUACUUUUUCUUUUCUUUGAGGGAGAAAUUAGGCAAAUAGGCAAAAGAAAAUAUGAGAGGCGGUUUCCUUCCUUAGAAGGGCUGAGCAGGGAUUACGAAAUCUCAAAUGCCAAGAUCUUAUGUGCAAACCAUGCCCAAUGCUGUAAACAUUAUUAAGCCCUACCAAAGGCUAUUUACUUGAAUCCUACCAAGAAACAUUAAGCAUUACGAAACUUCUUUUAAAAUAUUGUUUUGCAUUAUAAAAUAGAAUACAACAUAAAAAUAUUUAUGUUAAAUAAUUAUAAUAAACUAUGCAAAAUGAGUAAUAAGGAACAAUAUAGCAUAAAGUCAUGUAUAUAAUGUUUACAAUAUUUUUAUAAAGUAAAUAAGAGGUUCUUGUCUGUUCCUCUAAUAUUCUUUAUUAUCACUGAGUUUUGUUUUUCUUCUGGAAAGAGGGGGCAGGCAGAGGGAGAUGGCUGUGGGGACCUCUGCCAAGCCUGAGUUGGGCCACAGUCAAAAAACGUUUGAGGGCAUCAUUCAGAAAAAUAAGCCUGCAAAUAAUUUUUCUCAAUUUCCUGUCUUUUUCCUGAAAGAUGGUUUGAAGAUGAAUGGCUGAGUAGAAAACACUUUCAGAUCCCCACAUAGGCAACGGCAGAAAAGCUCCAAGUGUGAUAUUACAAAUAUGUAUUGUCAUCGAAGACAGAAAUAUUUGCCUUGUCCACCCAAAAGCACAAUGAUCGUAUGGGUUGAUUGUAUUUUCUUCUCUAUGUAUUAUGUGCAGAAUUUCCCUUCAACAAAAGAAGGGAGGAAAGAAAACUAACCCUGCAUUGUAGGCUUCUGCUCUAUUUUAGGAGAGGAAAGAUACUCAAAGACAAAAACCAGCAAGAAAUGGCAUUUGACUUGCAAGCCUUUAGGAGAUGUGCAUAAACAGAGAAGCUCAAAGGGAGGCAGAGAAACCAGGAUGCCAUCGUUGAUUAUGUCCUUCCAGCAACUGCAACCGUGCCUCAAUUUGCAGGGAAAUACAUUCCUCUUCAUGGACCCUGUUCUGGGACCCAUAGCAUGCUCCAGGCUGCAGCCCAGACAGGAAGGUGUCCAAUAUGUCUUUGAGUUCCAUCUUGGGGAUCUCAUGUGAUCUCUGGUGUGUUAGUGAGUGGGCAGGGCCCCUGGAUCCCAGCACUGACCUCAGUUACAUGAAGAGUCUGAGUCCAUGGCAGGAUCUGGGCCCACAGUCUUCUCACCAACCCAGAGGCAGAAACAGACUCUACAAGCAACAUGGAAUGGCAGUGCUUUGUAUCUACAUUUAUUAGUUUUUAAAAAAUUAUAAAA
rnacentral:lncRNA from 1 species